AACGAACGCUGGCGGCAUGCCUAACACAUGCAAGUCGAACGAGACCUUCGGGUCUAGUGGCGCACGGGUGCGUAACGCGUGGGAACCUGCCCUUAGGUUCGGAAUAACUCCCCGAAAGGGGUGCUAAUACCGGAUAAUGUCUUCGGACCAAAGAUUUAUCGCCUUUGGAUGGGCCCGCGUUGGAUUAGCUAGUUGGUAGGGUAAAAGCCUACCAAGGCGACGAUCCAUAGCUGGUCUGAGAGGAUGAUCAGCCACACUGGGACUGAGACACGGCCGAGACUCCUACGGGAGGCAGGAGUGGGGAAUAUUGGACAAUGGGCGAAGGCCUGAUCCAGCACUGCCGCGUGAGUGAUGAAGGCCUUAGGGUUGUAAAGCUCUUUUACCCGGGAUGAUAAUGACAGUACCGGGAGAAUAAGCUCCGGCUAACUCCGUG
rnacentral:rRNA from 1 species